GACGAACCGUGCGAACGUUGUUCGGAAUCACUGGGCUUAAAGGGCGCGUAGGCGGGCUGUCAAGUCUGGGGUGAAAUCCCACGGCUCAACCGUGGAACUGCCUCAGAUACUGACGGCCUCGAGGGAGGUAGGGGCGAGCGGAACUGUGAGUGGAGCGGUGAAAUGCGUUAAUAUUCACAGGAACUCCGGUGGCGAGGGCGGCUCGCUGGAUCUCUUCUGACGCUGAGGCGCGAAAGGUAGGGGAGCAAACGGG
rnacentral:rRNA from 1 species